AUUGCCUCAGUAACGGCGAGUGAAGCGGCAACAGCUCAAAUUUGAAAUCUGGCCCUAGGCCCGAGUUGUAAUUUGCAGAGGAUGCUUUUGGCGCGGUGCCUUCCGAGUUCCCUGGAACGGGACGCCAUAGAGGGUGAGAGCCCCGUCUGGUUGGAAACCAAGCCUUUGUAAAGCUCCUUCGACGAGUCGAGUAGUUUGGGAAUGCUGCUCAAAAUGGGAGGUAUAUGUCUUCUAAAGCUAAAUACCGGCCAGAGACCGAUAGCGCACAAGUAGAGUGAUCGAAAGAUGAAAAGCACUUUGAAAAGAGAGUUAAAUAGCACGUGAAAUUGUUAAAAGGGAAGCGUUCAUGACCAGACUUGGGCCGGUUAAUCAUCCAGCGUUCUCGCUGGUGCACUUUGCCGGUCCAGGCCAGCAUCAGUUCGUUGCGGGGGAUAAAGACGUCGGGAAUGUGGCUCCUCGGAGUGUUAUAGCCCUUCGUGUAAUACCCUGUGGUGGACUGAGGUUCGCGCUCUGCAAGGAUGCUGGCGUAAUGGUCAUCAACGACCCGUCUUGAAACACGGACCAAGGAGUCGUCUUCGUAUGCGAGUGUUCGGGUGUAAAACCCCUACGCGUAAUGAAAGUGAACGCAGGUGAGAGCUUCGGCGCAUCAUCGACCGAUCCUGAUGUUCUCGGAUGGAUUUGAGUAAGAGCAUACGGGGCCGGACCCGAAAGAAGGUGAACUAUGCCUGUAUAGGGUGAAGCCAGAGGAAACUCUGGUGGAGGCUCGCAGCGGUUCUGACGUGCAAAUCGAUCGUC
rnacentral:rRNA from 1 species